UUCCCGGGCCCGGGCCCCCUCUGCUCCCCGGGCACCCCUGCACCCCAGGAGCCCCACUUGGCCUCCCUGGUGCAGUGCGCCCAAGCCUGGACUUUCGGGGGCUGGCUUCCCCCCCCCCCGCCCCCCCCGCUCCCUCGCGCGGACCGUCGGUGGCUCCCCGCGCCUGUCCCGCCGCUCGGACGUGGCUACUUUGGGGAUGGGGGUGGGGUGGGGAGCGCAGUAUAAAGGGUCGGAGGCGGCGCGGGCCGAGACCUAGACGUGGCGCGUCCACUCUCCCGGCCUCCGCUCCAGACCAAGAGAGUCGCUGCCGGUUCUUGGAGGACCGAUUUGUGGGGUGAGCCUCCCGCCUAGUUUGGGUCGAUUUCAGCGGAGUUCAAUCAGAGACAGGAACAGAUCAGAUGAACCAGGGAGGCAGCUGAGCAUUAAGAGAGGAGCUCCCGGAUGGACAAGCUCCAUCGAUAAACUGCCACCUCAAGGGGAGCAGCAGGGAGGGGGCCGAAGAGACUGUCACCUGGUAGAGCUGCAGAUGCUGCUGUGGUCAGGGAUGACCUUCAAGGGAAACCUCGGUAUCUGUGACCUUUACAACGCCCGGAGUUGUAUUAGUGUCAUGAAAAGCCCCAGUCCAGAAAUCAUGGCUUAUGGAUAUUUACAUCUUAACUGGGUUUUCCUACAAACAAGCCGGGGAUACAUUACAAUUCUCCACAAGUGUUCCUUUUUUCUACUGUUUUCCUUUUUUCAGAUCUGUGGCAUUUAAGAAUUGAAAAAACUGCAGGUCCUCUGAUCAGCCCCAUUAGUUUUUUUCUUAAAAAUGGCCAAACACUGGUAAAACGACAUGCAGUUUUUAUGCCUCACUAAGAUUGCUUCAUGCUGGUUUUGUUUAAGUAUUUGAAAGACUCAUGAUAUGGCUACAGAAAAUGGUGUGAUGCUCCCCAAAGUCUUGAGAGAAGAAUCACCAAGUAGGGAGAGUUCAGGGAGCCUUGAGCUGCACCAGGGUUGCUUAGGGUUUCUGCCCCUAUAAAUGCUCACUCCCCCUUUAGUGUAGCAGCCCACUCCCAUGACAGAGAUUGACAGAGAUAAGCAGGCGAGUUUUAUUCAAAACAACAACCAGAAACUAUAACAGAAUACAAAUAAAAUAGUAUGACACAUCUGAGAAUGAGCAUAAAUGGGGAUGGGACAGAGUGUGGGGUCCUGGACCUUAAAGGGAAGGACCAGCGCAACUGCUGGCCAGCCCUCUGCCCAUCAGUACACUGGACACUCCGUCACGCUCCCUUCUCUGAAGUCUGAGUUCCACCCACAGCCACCCAGGGCCUGCUUCCAGCUCCUCGUGUCAGCCAGCAGCGUGUGCCCCUGCCAGCUGUUCCACAGAGGCUGGCUCCGAACACCCUGGUCAUCGUCCAGCCCAGGUGAGCUUCCUCACCUUUUCGCUCUCUAGACCAGAGCUCACUCCAUAGGGGAAAACCACCACCGGAAGUAUUUUUGCCUUGUCAUUUUUCUUUUUAUUGUCUUGUCUUUAUGGUUAAAUUUCUUCAUAUAUUUUUCUAGCAACCCAGUUCCCUUACAAUAAAAUUGUUGUGCUC